AUACGAAGGGGGCAAGCGUUGUUCGGAAUAACUGGGCGUAAAGCGCACGUAGGCGGAUUGAUCAGUUAGAGGUGAAAUCCCAGGGCUCAACCCUGGAACUGCCUUUAAUACUGUCAGUCUAGAGAUCGAGAGAGGUGAGUGGAAUUCCGAGUGUAGAGGUGAAAUUCGUAGAUAUUUGGAGGAACACCAGUGGCGAAGGCGGCUCACUGGCUCGAUACUGACGCUGAGGUGCGAAAGCGUGGGGAGCAAACAGGAUUAGAAACCCCAGUAGUCC
rnacentral:rRNA from 1 species